rnacentral:rRNA from 1 species
UACGUAGGGUGCGAGCGUUAAUCGGAAUUACUGGGCGUAAAGUGUGCGCAGGCGGCCGCGCAAGUCGAGUGUGAAAGCCCCGAGCUUAACUUGGGAAUUGCACUCGAAACUACGUGGCUGGAGUGUGGCAGAGGAAGGUGGAAUUCCAGGUGUAGCGGUGAAAUGCGUAGAGAUCUGGAGGAACACCGAUGGCGAAGGCAGCCUUCUGGGCCAACACUGACGCUCAUGCACGAAAGCGUGGGGAGCAAACAGG